AACAAAAGGGGUGCUUGUACCAAAAUAGAUGACGCAGGCUGAGAAAUACCCUAUGAACCUGAAGCGGGUAAUGCUGCCGUAGGAAUUUGUUCAUA
rnacentral:ncRNA from 1 species